rnacentral:rRNA from 1 species
UACAGAGGGGGCAAGCGUUGUUCGGAAUUACUGGGCGUAAAGGGCGCGUAGGCGGCCUUCUAAGUCGAACGUGGAAAUACCCCCGGGCUCAACCCGGGAACUGCGUCCGAUACUGGAAGGCUUGAAUCCGGGGAGAGGGAUGUGAAUUCCAGGUGUAGCGGUGAAAUGCGUAGAUAUCUGGAGGAACACCGGUGGCGAAGGCGGGUCUGCUGG